rnacentral:rRNA from 1 species
UACGUAGGUGACCAGCGUUGUCCGGAUUUACUGGGCGUAAAGAGCGCGCAGGCGGUCGUUCAAGUCGAGUGUGAAAGCCCCUGGCUCAACUGGGGAGGGUCACGCGAUACUGGUCGACUCGAAGGCAGGAGAGGGUAGUGGAAUUCCCGGUGUAGUGGUGAAAUGCGUAGAUAUCGGGAGGAACACCAGUGGCGAAGGCGACUACCUGGCCUGUUCUUGACGCUGAGGCGCGAAAGCUAGGGGAGCAAACGGG